UACGGAGGAUGCGAGCGUUAUCCGGAUUUAUUGGGUUUAAAGGGUGCGUAGGCGGAACAUUAAGUCAGCGGUAAAAUCGAGGGGCUCAACCCCUUUAAGCCGUUGAAACUGGGGAUCUAGAGUGUGCGAGAGGUAUGCGGAAUGCGUGGUGUAGCGGUGAAAUGCAUAGAUAUCACGCAGAACCCCGAUUGCGAAGGCAGCAUACCGGUGCACAACUGACGCUCAGGCACGAAAGCGUGGGUAUCGAACAGG
rnacentral:rRNA from 1 species